AUUGAACGCUGGCGGCAUGCCUUACACAUGCAAGUCGAACGGUAACAGGUCUUCGGAUGCUGACGAGUGGCGAACGGGUGAGUAAUACAUCGGAACGUGCCUAGUAGUGGGGGAUAACUACUCGAAAGAGUGGCUAAUACCGCAUGAGAGCUACGGAUGAAAGCAGGGGAUCGCAAGACCUUGUGCUACUAGAGCGGCCGAUGGCAGAUUAGGUAGUUGGUGAGAUAAAAGCUUACCAAGCCGACGAUCUGUAGCUGGUCUGAGAGGACGAUCAGCCACACUGGGACUGAGACACGGCCCAGACUCCUACGGGAGGCAGCAGUGGGGAAUUUUGGACAAUGGGCGAAAGCCUGAUCCAGCAAUGCCGCGUGCAGGAUGAAGGCCUUCGGGUUGCAAACUGCUUUUGUACGGAACGAAAAGCCCCGGGUUAAUACCCUGGGGUCAUGACGGUACCGUAAGAAUAAGCACCGGCUAACUACGUGCCAGCCGCCGCGGUAA
rnacentral:rRNA from 1 species